GUAACGGCAGGAAAGAGGACUGUCAAGUCUGUCCAGAAGGCUAUUACUGUAAGGAGGGUACAUCCAAACCCACUUCCUGUCCACCGUGAGUCACAGUCCCAUUGGCUGAAAUAACAAAGAUAAAACCAGAUAAAAUUUCAGUGUAUUUGAAUUUUCCUAUGUGUCCAGGGCAACAUUUAGUCGGAUAAAGGGGGGCCGGAGAGCAGAGGAUUGCUCUGUGUGUCCUGCUGGCUACUUCUGUCCUCAUCCGGCCACAAUAAAUCCAAAAGUUUGUGGAACAGGAAGUUAUUCUGUAAGCCAGACAGCUAAUUCUGUUCUAAUGCAUGUCGUCUCAUUGUAAUAAAUGAAUACACCAUUUCAUUUAUCUGUCUCCCUUUCUUCUGGCUCUCUGUCUUGCUCUUUUUCGUUAGGAUGAGGGAUCAGUGGAGUGUCAGCCAUGUUUGCCGGGUCACUACUGCAGCAAUGAGACCACCAGUGAAGAGGCCAUGCUCAGAGUAAUGGUCUGCCCCCCAGGUUUCCUCUGCUCACAGGGCCUGGAUCGAGAACCCCAGCGCUCAGCGGUAUUCUGCCCAAUUGGCUUUUACUGUCCCGGUGGAAGCAUUGUAAGUAUCAUUUCAAGGCUCAGAAACAUUACGAACAUCGUUGAUCAUUGUGUCAGAUGAUCAAUGGCACGAAACAUAGUUAUUUUCUUUUUUAUUAUUUAUGCCCUACUUAGGAUCCUAAUCCUGUUCCGUGCCCCAAAGGAACCUACAGUCGACAGCCAGGACUACGUGACCCUUCAGACUGCACAAACUGUCCCGAGGGCAAAUACUGCUACACAGAGAAUCCCCAUGAAGAGCCCAUUAUUGAACCAACAGGAAACUGUCCUGAUGGAUACUUCUGUCCUCCUGGUACCGGACAUCCAAACUCAUUUCCGUGCCAGUCUGGCUUCUUUAGGAAUGACUCGUAUGGACAUGGAGGAGAAGCUUGUGUGGAAUGUCCUCCUGGUCACUACUGUCCUACUCUGGCCACACACACUCCUACAGUCUGUCCACAGGGUUUCUACUGUACUGAGGGGAGCUCAGCCCCAGAGCCGUGUGAAGAGGGCACAUUUGGAUCCCGGCAAGCCCUGAGUGAAGCAUCACAGUGUACCCCAUGUAGUGGGGGGAAAUAUUGCACCGGUUUGGGCAAAUCUGAGCCCACAGGGGACUGUGAAGGAGGAUUCUAUUGUAGACAGAGGUCUACGAGUCCAGUAAGAUUAUUCAACAAAAACUUUUCAUUUAUCCUUUAAAGGGAUAGGUUACCUAAAAAUUCUUAAAAUUCUUUCAUUAAUUACUCAUCCUCAUGUUGUUGCAAACCCGUAAGUCCUUUGUUCAUCUUCAGAACACAAAUGAAGAUAUUUUUGAUGAAAUCCGAGAGCUUUCUGACUAUGCAUAGACAGCAACACAACUAUCAUGUUCAAGGCCCAAAAAAGGUGGUAAGGACAUCAUUA
ensembl:lncRNA